AAACGCCAAUCACUCAUCAGCAAAACCGAUUGUAGUAUCGUAUUCUUCCUUCCAUGAAGAUAACUGGUCAUCAUUGGCCCCUGACUCGAGGAAUAAGCCUGCUGACAUCAGUGUAUCUCAACCUGCAUAAGGUGAACUAUGAUAGCUGCAUUUCCUUCACUUCUCAUUGAUCCAUCUCGCUCCUAGCUAUUUGUUGUUUUUCUUUAGCUAGUUUUCUAGAAAGAUUGUUUUCUCCCCUUCCCAUCUGGUAUCGCAUUGUAGAAUGGUAGAUGUAUAAUGGUCCCAACAGAAAUAAUUUCAGCAUAGAUGAGGUUUUCUUUCUAGUGUUUUGCAGGUGUAGGGCCUCUUUGCUAUUUGGCUGUUGGCUUUUCUGAACUUUAUGGCUUCUUUCAUGGCAAGUCUAGCAGUUUUAAUUUUGUAGGUGUUUGCUCUGUUGCUUUUUCACGUCAGUAGAUUUCACCUUCUUUUUUGUUAGCUGUUGUUGCCAUUUACUCUCAAGAAUUUUACACCUCGCAUCAACUAUAUUCAAUUAUGGUCAUUUAACUUUUCUUUUGUAGUAUAAAAAGUUCUCUUUGGGGUAAAGUUGCAAAAGAUUCGUUAUACUGGUAAACAAUCAACCUUAACAACUAGGUAAGCCAUAAGACAGCGAUCAACUAUUUUGGCUGCGCAAUACAUGUAGCUAACAAAGACUCUAUGUGGAACAUAAUACAGUCUAUAUGACCAUAUUCAAGAGCUUCUUGAGCAUUGAAACGCUUUACCUGGGGCUAAAUACAUACAUUGCUCCUUAAACUUGGCCACCACUCUACGCCGUGCAAUUUCCCCUCUUUACUUUCGGGCGAGAUCCUGGGGAUUUGCUUUAGAAAGUAACUAAGCCUAGUGUUAUGGCCACGAGAAAUAAAAUCAAGCCACUUGAACGAGCUAAAUAUCAUAGAUUAGAGAUGGAACAGAAUUUUUUUAACAUAGCUCAAGAGAAAUAAGUCAAAUUGAAGUGAGCAAUUAGGAUACUUUAGUGUAGUUUGUAACCGAUCAAGUGAAGAACAAGUUAGAAUGAAAUCAGUAGCAUCACUAUUAAUUGGAUAAUUAAGAAUCUGAAGUUACCAUUGGCAGGUACAAGAGAAGAUGCAUUUUAUAAAUUCCAAAAUCUGCAUAGGCUGUUGAAGAAAUGAAAAUGGACUGGAGGGCCGUAGCAGUUUAUCCCACUAACUUUCUUCGCAGAU
rnacentral:lncRNA from 1 species